GAUUUCAACUGAAAAAGUCAUCAAUAACAAAGUGAUAUAACUCAUCAAGAUCUAUAACUUUUAUUUGAAUCAUUUCUUCAUCUGACAAAAAGAUUUGUAACAUUGUUAAUAAAAUGUACAUAUCUCUUAUAUAGUUUAUAAACUAUGGGAGAGAUAUAUAAAUUUUGUGAACAAUGUUACUAUCACUUUACCGGAUGAAGAAAUGACCAAAAUAAAAGUUAUAGAUAUUGAUGUGUUAUACAACUUUGUUUUUGAUGAUAUUUUCAGUUGAAAUC
rnacentral:pre_miRNA from 1 species